rnacentral:snoRNA from 1 species
GUAGACAAAUGAUGUCCUUUUAUCACGACGGUCAACUGAAGCCCAAGAUACGUGGCAUUGAUGACCUUUGCCGGUGACACGGCCUUUUUCACUGAUG